rnacentral:tRNA from 1 species
GGCGCGGUAGCCAAAUGGUAAGGCGGGAGUCUGCAAAACUCCUAUGCGUGGGUUCGAUUCCCACUCGCGCCU